GACGAACGCUGGCGGCGUGCUUAACACAUGCAAGUCGAACGGAAAGGCCCUGCUUUUGUGGGGUGCUCGAGUGGCGAACGGGUGAGUAACACGUGAGUAACCUGCCCUUGACUUUGGGAUAACUUCAGGAAACUGGGGCUAAUAUCGGAUAGGAGCUCCUGCUGCAUGGUGGGGGUAGGAAAGUUUCGGCGGUUGGGGCUGGACUCGCGGCUUAUCAGCUUGUUGGUGGGGUAGUGGCUUACCAAGGUUUCGACGGGUAGCCGGCCUGAGAGGGUGACCGGCGACAUUGGGACUGAGAUACGGACCAGACUCCUACGGGCGGCAGCAGUGGGGAAUAUUGCACAGUGGGCGGAAGCCUGAUGCAGCAGCGCCGCGUGCGGGAUGACGGCCUUCGGGUUGUAAACCGCUUUCGCCUGUGACGAAGCGUGAGUGACGGUAAUGGGUAAAGAAGCACCGGCUAACUACGUG
rnacentral:rRNA from 1 species